AAAAAAAACUAAAUAAAACUAUAUAAUUUAGUAAAACUAUAUAGCUUUGAUGUACCAAACUAAAAAAAACCUAAAUAAAAUUACAUAAUUUAAAAUAGAACUAUGUAUUUUUUAUAUACUAAACUUAAGAAAAUCCAAGACAAAGUAAACUCUAAUUCAAUUAUCUUCUUCUCCUCUCAAACUCGCGUCAACUCAACCUUCUCAGAGCCUCCACCACCCACCCCCUGCUUCACGCCGCCGUUCACUCUAUUGCUGCUGCCAUUCACGUCGUCGGUGCUGCCGUCCAGACCACCACUGCUGCCGUCCACGCUGCUGCUGUGUUCAAGCCGCCGCUGCUGGCGUCGUUCUCAACCGCUGCUCCGUCUCAGGAUCUUAUUCAACUGUAGAAGCAAGUUGUUUAUCUUCAGUUGAGAAAGAUGUUGAAUUAUGAAGUGUAUUUCCAUGAAGUUUUUAUUGAAUAAACAACUUGAAUAUGGAGUUGAAGAUCUACAAAGUGUAAUAAAUAUUGUAUUUUAUUUAGUUAUUAUUACUUAUGAUAUUGUUUUAGAUUUUACUAAAUUUAUGCUUGAUUUGUAUUAAUAUAUAGAAUAUUUAAUGUUGAAUUCUUAGACUUGAUUAGUAUAUGUUUUGUUAUUUUGUUAUUUAUUUAAAUUAUUGUAAACAUGUUUGAUAAACAGAUACCAAUUUAAUUACCCGUAUAUUCAUAUAAAUAGAUUUUAAUGGAUAGAGUAUCCGCUACCCAUUUAAAUACUCAUAAAAUUUAUUUAAUCUAAACAGGUUUUAAUCGGAUUUAGAUAGCUUGUGAGUAAUUUUAUUAAGAUUUGGGACGGGUUCGAAUUACAAGUGUCAUUUCUUAAACGGAUUUGGGACGGUUCAGAUAAGUAUGGUUUAAAUGCGUUCGGGUUCGGAUAGCAUUAAAUGGGCGAAUACCUUAGCCAUUGCCAUCCCUAGUUUGAUCCAGUUUAGAAGGGUAAUUAUAUAAGAUUUUUGAUUCUUUGCAUACUCGUAUGUAAUAGUGCAAAUGUGCUUGAAUGUCUUUAAUUAUAUUUGAGUUUAUUGUUAUAAUUUUUUUUUAUAGAAUUUGAAGUUUUAAAUUAUUUCUCUCUCUUAGAAUGUUAUUGCGCAGAGGACUUGAAUCACUCAACCUUUGUUAUAUCUCUAUGAACUUUCACUCUUUCUCUUUUUGUCUUUAUUUUAUGCAUGGAGUUUCCUUCUUUUUUGGAAUGACAUCAUCGUGGUUCAUAGAGUCAUUUGAAUCUAUUCUAUUUUAUUUUGUUCAAACUCAGAGAUUAUAUGCAUCUUCUCCAUUGACUUGUGUGUUCUUCUCCUUUUCAUAAUUCACUGCAUUUUAGUUUUCAUAACUACUAUUACCACCUUUCAUCAAACUAUCUGUUAAACACUGUAAUUAAAUGUUUAUUGUAAGGGUAGUAUAGUCUUU